rnacentral:rRNA from 1 species
UGAUCCUGGCUCAGAUUGAACGCUGGCGGCAGGCCUAACACAUGCAAGUCGAGCGGUAGCACAGAGAGCUUGCUCUCGGGUGACGAGCGGCGGACGGGUGAGUAAUGUCUGGGAAACUGCCUGAUGGAGGGGGAUAACUACUGGAAACGGUAGCUAAUACCGCAUAACGUCGCAAGACCAAAGUGGGGGACCUUCGGGCCUCAUGCCAUCAGAUGUGCCCAGAUGGGAUUAGCUAGUAGGUGGGGUAAUGGCUCACCUAGGCGACGAUCCCUAGCUGGUCUGAGAGGAUGACCAGCCACACUGGAACUGAGACACGGUCCAGACUCCUACGGGAGGCAGCAGUGGGGAAUAUUGCACAAUGGGCGCAAGCCUGAUGCAGCCAUGCCGCGUGUAUGAAGAAGGCCUUCGGGUUGUAAAGUACUUUCAGCGAGGAGGAAGGCAUUAAGGUUAAUAACCUUAGUGAUUGACGUUACUCGCAGAAGAAGCACCGGCUAACUCCGUGCCAGCAGCCGCGGUAAUACGGAGGGUGCAAGCGUUAAUCGGAAUUACUGGGCGUAAAGCGCACGCAGGCGGUCUGUUAAGUCAGAUGUGAAAUCCCCGGGCUCAACCUGGGAACUGCAUUUGAAACUGGCAGGCUUGAGUCUUGUAGAGGGGGGUAGAAUUCCAGGUGUAGCGGUGAAAUGCGUAGAGAUCUGGAGGAAUACCGGUGGCGAAGGCGGCCCCCUGGACAAAGACUGACGCUCAGGUGCGA